rnacentral:ncRNA from 1 species
AAUCUUCAGGGCAGGGUGUGAUUCCCUACCGGCGGUAUAGCCCGCGAGCCGUUAGGCAUGAUCCGGUGAGAUUCCGGGGCCGACAGUAUAGUCUGGAUGGAAGAAGAU